GAGUACCCAGGGACACGAUACACUGCGGAAGGCUGCAGGGACCUCUGCCCAGGAAAGCCAGAACAAGCCCUGUGAAAAACAAGCUGCUGUCCCUGCUAGAGGCAUCCUGCAAUCCAUGGAUGUUUAUCACCAAGCCAUUGUUAACAUGAGGAGCCAGAAAAACUUCAUCUCUUUUACAAGAAACAUUGAGAUUCCUGUAAAAUUAAGAAAUCACACAAUUUGAUGGUCUACAUUAUCUAAAGCAAAUGAGACUUCUAUUUGGAACAAAGACUACCUUGUUGGGAAAUGAGUCUGCAAGUUAAAGUGUUUUCUGUUUUCUAAGGAUAAUGGUCUCCAGCUUCGUCAAUGUUCCUGCAAAGGACAUGAUGCUGACUUUGAAGAUGCAAGCUUCCACAUCUACAGCCUCAAGGAAACAAAUUCAGCCAACCAACUGAGGGAGCUUUCCUUGUCCUGCCUCAAGAUGAGAUCACAGUCUGCCCAACACCAUGAUUUAGGCCUUGUGACACCUGAGCUCAGAUGGAAAAGAAUGGUGUUACUGAGACCCUUCAAGAUUCCCAGUGUAAUUCAAUAAAGAAAAGGCAACACAAAGGGGUUGUAUAGAAUUCGCCACAUUAUGGACCCAUGUCAUAGAGAGAAUCCACGGUGCAUUUGUUAGCUGCAUUUAAAUGACAACACUUUCAGAUCCAAGAUUUAUUUGGGAUAAAAAUUUACCUGGAUGCAAGGCUAUUCAGAAUGAAGAUUAAUGAUAUGGUUUGGCUGUGUCCCCACCCAAACUUCAUCUUGAAUUCCCACGUGUUGUGAGAGGGACCUGGUGGGAGAUAAUUGAACCAUGGGGGCAGGUCUUUCUCAUGCUGUUCUCAUGAGAGUGAAUAAGUCUCAUGAAACCUGAUGGUUUUAUAAGGGGGAAUUUCCCUGCACAAGCUCUCUCUCUGCCUUUUGCCAUCCAUGUAAGACGUGACUUGGUCCUCCUUGCCUUCUACCAUGAUUAUGAGGCCUCCCCAGCCACGUGGAACUGUGAGUCCAUUAAACCUCUUUCUUUUGUAAA
ensembl:lncRNA HISLA HIF1A stabilizing long noncoding RNA